UUGUAACGGAUAUGCAGCUUGGUUUUCAUGUGGGCCCCUAACAGUUGGAGCUGGCUGCCUUUGGAUUCCUUUUCCCUAACUGGAUGGCCUUGUUGGAUUUCAGUGGAAGAGGUUUCUGCUUGGUUCAGCUUUGACUUGAUCCGUCCGGGUUGGGAGAAGGUGCAGACAGUGCAUAGGCUCUGUGCAGCUGAACACAGCUGAAAUUGAAAUGGCAACCUGCUUUAGAAGGAUGAUCCUGGACUGAGAGAUCUCUAAGGAGCACUAGAACACAGCUCCUAUAGUCACAGACAGGAGAUAGGUGUACACACACCUGAGAUCACGUGGUGAUAUUAUGAAAAGGGCUGGGAAAAGAUAAGCAGGAAUCAGGAAUCAAGCAACAGCAUAGAAAUAAUGAUUUCCCAACACAUCUCAUGGGAAAAAAUGGGAUGAAAUCAAAGAUACAUUCACCCCAAAUCUUGUCCUCAUAAGACCCUGUCAUGAAGAAGAAGAAGAAGAAGAAGAAGAAGAAGAAGAAGAAGAAGAAGAAGAAGAAGAAGAAGAAGAAGAAGAAGAAGAAGAAGAAGAAGAAGCAGCACUGGGUAUGUUGACUCACACUUGAAAUCCCGACACACUGGAGGCUGGGGAAUAAUUUCCAGGAACAUGAGGGCAGCCUGAGCUCCAAAGUGACUUCCAGAAGCCUGGGA
rnacentral:lncRNA from 1 species